rnacentral:rRNA from 1 species
UACAGAGGGGGCCAGCGUUAUUCGGAAUUAUUGGGCGUAAAGGGCGCGUAGGCGGCCAUGCGUGUCUUCCGUGAAAUCCCUCGGCUUAACCGAGGACGUGCGGAAGAAACUGCAAGGCUCGAGUCCGGAAGAGGGGGGCGGAAUUCCCAGUGUAGCGGUGAAAUGCGUAGAUAUUGGGAGGAACACCAGUGGCGAAGGCGGUCCCCUGGGCCGGAACUGACGCUGAGGCGGCGAAAAGCGUGGGUAGCAAACGGG